rnacentral:rRNA from 1 species
UCGGUGACAGGUGGUGCAUUGGUUGUUCGUCAGCUCGUGUCGUGAGAUGUUGGUUAAGUCCCGCAACGAGCGCAACCCUAUCUUUAGUUGCCAUCAUUAAGUUGGGCACUCUAAAGAGACUGCCGGUGUCAAACCGGAGGAAGGUGGGGAUGACGUCAAGUCCUCAUGGCCUUUAUGACCAGGGCUACACACGUACUACAAUGGCCGGUACAAAGGGCAGCGACACAGCGAUGUGAAGCCAAUCCCGAAAAGCCGGUCUCAGUCCGGAUUGGAGUUUGCAACUCGACUCCAUGAAGUUGGAAUCGCUAGUAAUCGUGGAUCAGCACGCCACGGUGAAUACGUUCCCGGGCCUU